AGCAGAGUGGCGCAGUGGAAGCGUGCUGGGCUCUUAACCCAAAGAUCCGUAGAUCGAAACCGCACUCUGCUA